rnacentral:rRNA from 1 species
CACAAGCGGAGGAACAUGUGGUUUAAUUCGAUUGAUACGCGAGGAACCUUACCUGGGCUUAAAUGUAGAGUGCAUUGAGAGGAAACUUUCAUUUUCUUCGGAACUCUUUACAAGGUGCUGCAUGGUUGUCGUCAGCUCGUGCCGUGAGGUGUCGGGUUAAGUCCCAUAACGAGCGCAACCCUUAUCGUUAGUUGCCAGCGGGUAAUGCCGGGAACUCUAGCGAAACUGCCGGUGUAAACCGAGAGGAAGGUGGGGAUGACGUCAAAUCAGCACGGCCCUUAUGUCCAGGGCUACACACGUGUUACAAUGGCCGGUACAGAGGGCAGCUACCUGGAGACAGGAUGCGAAUCUCGAAAGCCGGUCUCAGUUCGGAUCGGAGUCUGCAACCCGACUCCGUGAAGCUGGAUUCGCUAGUAAUCGCGCAUCAGCCAUGGCGCGGUGAAUACGUUCCCGGGCCUU